CAAAAAUGGUCUUUAAUCCACGCCGGCUUUGUCUAUAGUCUCUAGCCCACCCAUCUCUGAAGGCCCCAAUCCCCUCUCUUAAGUGGCCCUCAAGUGCGCCAUUGUCUCUCGGCGGAGGCCUCCUCACCCUUUGGGGUCUGGACGACCCGUUUGCUCGUCGUCAUUUGGUUGAAGUCUUGGAGAGUUGGCCGCCCGAGAGAACGAAGAGGGCGAUGGCCUGGCUGGUUUCUUUUCAAGUUUGAAAUUAAAAAUGUGGGAGAAUAUCAUUACAGUUUGGUCACCCUCACAAUCCAGGCGGUGCUUUUGUGUGCAUCUGAAGUGUAAGAGUCAACCAUGGACUGACCUAAUAAAAGGCAAAAGUGCAACAAGCACGACACAAGGCAAUGAGGCAACAUCAAGGUUGGCUCCUAAAGAAGUGAAAACAGUUUUGAUGCUAAUAAAAAAUAUGAAGGCUACAGACAAUUAAUGAUCUGGAAAGGGUGCAAGAAGGCAGUGGACAAUGCAAAACCUUACUAAAUGAUGUGGCCAUGGUGGUGACAGUAACCUGAUACGUGAUGUUAUUGGAGUCAUAAUGCAUACAUCCUUGAUGCCUAUGUAGCUGCAGCUGCAUCUAUAUUUACAUAGGUCACGUACCUUUUAGUUUUUCGGCAGCUGUACUGCAAUCCAGGUUUCUGGCACAGAAAUUGACCAUCGACUUUUUCUAUUGUUGAGGAACCAUCAGGUAAUCCUGCUUCUAUUGUGGAUAAUUCACAUCCUUAAUAUGUUAAUAUAUGUAUACAUGGAUCUAGACAUAGCUUCUUGUUGAAUUUGUGGGAACUCUGGCACCAAAGUUUUAUUCAUUUUUCUGGUUUUCUAUUGCUGAUGAGCUUCUGGGCCUUUUGCUCUCUCAGCCUUUACAAACUGAUACAAGGUUAUCAAAUAAAAUCUGGGAACAAACCAGUUCUGUUGAUUCAUUUAUAUUGGUUGCGAUUCACCAUCCUUGAAAGCUCUACUGAAACUAAGAAGAUUAGCAUUGAGACAAAAGGAAAUCUAGACUAGGAUGUGAUAAGGCCAAGAUCAGGACCGUUGACUAGUUGAAUCUCAUAGAACUAGUGCAUUUGAACUGAGAUCGCUACUAGUUCUAUCGAGCUACUGAAGUACCAAAUCGAGUAGAGCUGUGUCAGGAACGAGGAUCAAUGGGAGAAUUUCCAUAGCCACAUGUCAGCUGAUUUUAGUACUCCAAGAGAAGAUUCACUGCGCUAGAUCAGACUUUAUUUCAUGAUGAAAAUUGUGUCAAAUAGGGAGUCCUAAUAUAUGUUUUUAUCUCUAGAUUUCUUUUCUAAGUAAAAAUUGUACCAAAUAUUUUUUGAUACUAACUUCCAUGCUGUGCUUUUUGCUUGUUUUAUAUCCCGAUACAUGUUGAGAGAAUUUACCUGUUGGCUGCAACCUGUCCCUGCUUCACACUGUAACAAGAUAAUUUUUUCUCUAAGAUAAUGUUUUAACAUUAACAUUAUCUGGGUUUCAGGGUGCUCCAUACAACUGUUUAUUUGUUCGUAUUAAAUCUUAUUUGAGACCUUUCAGUCUUCUGCUUUCUUUUCCUUUUUGAAAUGGUUAGAUCUACCGCUUACGUUGAGGAUACUGGUUAAAUCUUAACCAGCAUUUUGACUGAAGAAAGAAUAGGGAAACGUGGAAAUCAAUACUCAGUCACGUAUGAAAUUGUUAUUUUGAAAAAGUUGGCAUCUCGGCACCCCCGGUCCAUGUUCUCCUAGAAAAUUUUCUUAGUAGACGCGCAGUAUACUCUUGUCUUGUUCCUUCAAAACAACGCCACCACGGCAAGCUGACUCAGCAGUUAUCUUUCCGGAGAAAUGAUUUUCAUCAAUUACAGCCACUCGUUUCGUGAGCUUCAAGCGUUAAGCAUGCAUCAUGCAUCUUAAUGCACUGCUAUAAAAAAGAACGGUUGUGAUUGAUGGUGCCCAUGCUUUUCGUGAAUUAGCAGACCUCAAGAGAUAAUUUUUCACCAUGAAUUAUGAUGCAAUUAACUAUGAUGGAUGUAGUGCUCCAUAUCACCUCCGCAUUUGAAGCGGAUUUUGGCAGUUACGGUUGCUACUGAUUAUUAAUGAUUAUAUCACUGUUUAUAGAGUAAAUUAUAAUUUCAAAAUAUAACAUAAACAUAAUAAGUUAAAAAUAUCAACUUUAUUCAACAAUUUUUUUUUUGAGAAGAGAAGAUGUAUUUUUAAUUGUAGAAAUACUAUAUUGCUAAAUGAUCUCAAUUUUUUUUUUCUUUUUUGAUUAUGAUCAAAUAGUGAGAAGAUAGUUAUUAUGAUGCAAGUAGAGAGCAUAUCAAAUACUUCCAAACUAGGCUUCUACGCACGUGCUUGACAAUUAGGCACCAAAUUUUCAUUGGAGCUUUCCUUAAAAGCUUUUAACAAUGCUAAACAUGAAACCACACGAUUAGGUAAAUCAAGAUUGAUGUUUCUUUUGAAGUGUCAAAAGCCACAUGCCAAAAAUUAUAAGCCAAGUUUUUCCAACAUUAGGAUUGUUUUCUGAUGAUUGUGAUUUCAAGUCAGGCUUUCAUGGUCGUGAUCCGAUUUCUCACAGAAACCUCUAUGAAAGUUCUUAGCAGGAUUUGAUAGAAAAAAGACCGAGAGCAGACGGCCUUAUGUCUUGGACUCUGUCAAAGUUGCCAACGAACAACUAAAUAUGCCAAACUAAAUACGCCAAAUCAGCUGCCAAACAUGGAAGCAAAUAGGAUCCGCAAGGACCGCCACCGGUUAUUCCGCCACUUUAUGCGGCGUCGGUGGAUGCGGAGGUCUGGCGGCGACGCCCCAGGCUGGCGGACACUAGUAGACGCCCGAGUACUCCUUGCGGCUGAGCGGGGCGUGGGCUUAUUCUCCAAUCUUGGUGAUCCAUGGUGCAGCGACGGCGGAUGGCAUCGAGCACAACCGGCGGCGGAGGUGGAGGGUUGCCGGCAUCGAACUGCUCCGGUAAGAUAUUGGUUGACGGCAGUGAUGGGUGGCUGGAGGUAGCGGGCGCACGGUGUAUUUGAGACAAAUAAUUCAAUGUGAUUUGUUUAGAAAAGGGGCGUGACUAUGUGACUGUUAACUGAUGACUGUGUGUAUUUGACUGUUGACUAUCGACACCUUAAGGUUUAUAUUUCUAUCAUAGGACAGGACCAUCAAAUGCUCAGACAACCAACGGACCUAACCCGAACCCCUCUUGCUCUGAGAGCUCCAGGUUGCAAAGUUGGCAGGCUACAAAAUUACGUGGCGCGUCAUGGUUGCUGCACAAAAUCAUGUCCCCGGUGGGCUCCACGCUCCACGCUAUAUCUGCUCAUAGACUGGAUAUUGCCCUGUAUAAUUUGUUGUCACCGUUAGCAGUUCCCAGCAGCAACAACUGCAUGAUUGUACUUUGAGAAUGGUCAUUCACGCAUUCAAACUAAUCAUGGAAACAUAUUGUCUCCAGACUACAAAACUACACGCUAUUCUCUUACUUUGCUUCGGCUAUUUUUUCCUUAUCACUCGAUCACUGUGUCAUUCUUAGCAUGGCUAUCUUUUUUCUGGGGAAGCUAAGCAUCUCUCUCUCUCUAUAUAUAUAUUUUUCAAACAAAUUCCUCCUACCUUGUACUGCAUUUUUGAAAAAACUAUACGUACCGUUCAUUUUAAAUUAUACUGU